rnacentral:snoRNA from 1 species
UGGUUAUGGUGUGGACAGUCUCUUAGUAGCCCCUUGAAUCGCUCUCAGGCUGCAUAAAGUGAUUCACCUUCUCUCUAUUUGGAUGUAACUAUCUCACUUCUUAUCUU